rnacentral:tRNA from 1 species
UCCCUGGUGGUCCAGUGGUUAGAACUUGGCAUUGUCACUGCUGAGGGCCUGGUUUCAAUCCCUGGUCAGGGAA